UAUUGCACAAUGGGGGAAACCCUGAUGCAGCGACGCCGCGUGAGUGAAGAAGUAUUUCGGUAUGUAAAGCUCUAUCAGCAGGGAAGAAAAUGACGGUACCUGAUGAAGAAGCCCCGGCUAAUUACGGUCCAGCAGCCGCGGUAAUACGUAGGGGGCAAGCGUUAUCCGGAUUUACUGGGUGUAAAGAGAGCGUAGACGGCAGCACAAGUCUGGAGUGAAAUGCCGAUGCUUAACCCCGGAACUGCAUUGGAAACUGUGCAGCUAGAGUGCAGGAGAGGUAAGUGGAAUUCCUAGUGUAGCGGUGAAAUGCGUAGAUAUUAGGAGGAACACCAGUGGCGAAGGCGGCUUACUGGACUGUAACUGACGUUGAGGCUCGAAAGCGUGGGGAGCAAACAGG
rnacentral:rRNA from 1 species